GGCUAACCGAGGAGGUGGAACUCAAUGCUAAAGGAGGCAGAGAUGAUCGCAACUAUCUAUGGGUAUUGCUGAAAAUGCGGUCCGAAAACCCGUUUCUAUCCCUGGUCCUGCCCAGUAUACUAAUCAUCUUGGCUGAUGUAGGCAGCUUCGCCCUGCCGCUGGGAGAGAGUAAGCGCAUCCCCUUCAAGGUUAAACUGGUUCUCAGCUUCAUCAUGUUCCUCAACAUCCUCAAGGACCUUCUGCCUGGAGGAGGCCAGUGCAGCCCCAUCAUCCCUUAUGACUGCCCAUACCAUAACCCCACCUCCACCAUGGGACACUCUGUUCACAACGUUGCAAACCGCUCACCCACACAACGCCACACACGCUGUCUGCCAUCUGCCCGGUACAGCUGAAACCAGGAUUAAUCCAUGAAGAGCACACUUCUCCAGUGUGCCAGUGGCCAUCGAAGG
ensembl:lncRNA